rnacentral:tRNA from 1 species
GCGGGCGUAGCCAAACUGGUAGAGGCGCCAGACUUAGGAUCUGGUCGGCGUUGAGCCGGUGGGGGUUCGAGUCCCUCCGCCCGCACCA